UACGUAGGUGGCGAGCGUUGUCCGGAUUUACUGGGCGUAAAGGGCGUGCAGGCGGUUUGUUAAGUGCAGGGUGAAAGCUCCCGGCUCAACUGGGAGAGGUCCUUGCAUACUGGCGAGCUCGAGGGAGGCAGAGGAAAGUGGAAUUCCCGGUGUAGUGGUGAUAUGCGUAGAUAUCGGGAGGAACACCUGUGGCGAAGGCGGCUUUCUGGGCCUUACCUGACGCUGAGACGCGAAAGCGUGGGGAGCGAACCGG
rnacentral:rRNA from 1 species